ACACUUUGCCACUGGGUUGUUCAGUCCCCAGGUUCCCUCAGUCCUCAGAAGGAGCCAGCAUGGACAAUCUCCUUUAUAGUUUUGGAAGCAGGUUUGUUGCCAUGGAGUUCACAUUUUGACUGGAGUUGAGAAGUAUAAAGGUAACCGUUUGUUUUAGUUUCAACGAUCUGGCAAAAAGAUAGGCUGUUGCUCUUCUUCUGGAAAAGCCUGAUUGGUAAGAUUCCUUUAAGGGCUCAGCCCCAAAGAGCUUUAUCCCAUCCCCUCACAGACUAAAAACUAAAGCUUGCAGAGACCUCUGAAGGAAAACCUGUCCCGGGCUCUGUCACUUCACACCCAUGGCUAACCCUGGAGGUGGUACUGUUUGCAAUGGGAAACUUCACAGUCACAAGAAACAGAGCAAUGGCUUGCAAAGCAGAAACUGCACAAAGAAUGGAAUAGUGAAAGAAGCCCAGCAAAAUGGGAGGACACAUUUUUAUGAUAAGCUCAUUGUUGAAUCCUUUGAAGAAGCACCCCUUCAUGUUAUGGUUUUCACUUACAUGGGGUAUGGAAUUGGAACCCUGUUUGGCUAUCUCAGAGACUUUAUGAGAAACUGGGGAAUAGAAAAAUGCAAUGCAGCCGUGGAACGAAAAGAACAAAGAGAUUUUGUACCACUGUAUCAAGACUUUGAAAAUUUUUAUACACGAAACCUUUACAUGCGAAUCAGAGACAACUGGAACCGGCCCAUCUGCAGUGCCCCAGGGGCUCUGUUUGACGUGAUGGAGAGGGUGUCGGAUGACUAUAACUGGACAUUUAGGUUUACUGGAAGAGUCAUCAAAGAUGUCAUCAACAUGGGCUCCUAUAACUUCCUUGGUCUUGCAGCCAAGUACGAUGAGUCUAUGAGGACAAUAAAGGAUGUUUUAGAGGUGUAUGGCACAGGCGUGGCCAGCACCAGGCGUGAAAUGGGCACCUUGGAUAAGCACAAGGAGCUGGAGGACCUUGUGGCUAAGUUCCUGAAUGUGGAAGCAGCUAUGGUCUUUGGGAUGGGAUUCGCAACUAACUCAAUGAAUAUCCCGGCAUUAGUUGGAAAGGGAUGCCUCAUUUUAAGUGAUGAGUUAAACCACACAUCGCUUGUGCUUGGGGCCCGACUCUCAGGUGCAACCAUAAGAAUCUUCAAACACAACAACACACAAAGCCUAGAGAAGCUCCUGAGAGAUGCUGUCAUCUAUGGCCAGCCUCGAACCCGCAGAGCUUGGAAAAAGAUUCUCAUCCUGGUGGAGGGUGUCUACAGCAUGGAAGGUUCCAUCGUGCAUCUGCCCCAGAUCAUAGCUCUAAAGAAGAAAUACAAGGCUUACCUCUACAUAGAUGAAGCUCACAGUAUUGGGGCCGUGGGCCCAACUGGCCGAGGUGUCACGGAAUUCUUUGGACUAGACCCUCACGAAGUUGAUGUGCUCAUGGGCACAUUCACCAAAAGCUUUGGAGCUGCAGGAGGUUACAUAGCUGGAAGGAAGGACCUUGUGGAUUAUUUACGGGUUCACUCGCAUAGUGCUGUCUAUGCUUCAUCCAUGAGCCCACCGAUAGCAGAGCAAAUCAUCAGAUCACUAAAACAUCUCAUGGGAAUGGAUGGGACCACACAAGGGUUGCAGAGAGUACGGCAACUUGCGAAAAACACAAGAUACUUCAGACAAAGACUGCAGGAAAUGGGAUUCAUUAUCUAUGGCAAUGAGAAUUCUCCUGUUGUUCCUCUGCUUCUUUACAUGCCUGGUAAAGUAGCGGCUUUUGCAAGGCAUAUGUUAGAGAAAAAAAUUGGAGUGGUGGUCGUGGGAUUUCCAGCCACUCCCCUCGCAGAAGCUCGGGCUCGGUUUUGUGUUUCAGCAGCCCAUACUCGGGAGAUGUUAGACACGAUAUUGGGAAUUUGUUUUUCACUGUUCUGGAGACCAGAAGUCUGAGAUCGAGGUGCCAAUGUGGUCGGGUUCUGAGGAGGGCCCACUUCCCUGCUGCAGAUGGCUGACUUCUCAUUGGAUCCCAACAUGGACUCUAAGAUUUUCAGUGAACAGUUGAAUCUUAAACCCUUCUGGGGAGAUACAAAGGAAAUGAAGAGGGUGAAGCCUAUGUUCAAGAAGCGGCCAGGAUGGUGCUCAAAUCUAGGGAUUUACAUGUCAAGUCAUGGCUUGCACUUUAUUUCAAUUAUUCUGUCUCUUCCAAGGGUGGCCUGUGCCAUAGAGUCACUCCUUCAACCAGCCGUGUUGACCUGACACCUUUUGCACUAGUGCCAAGGCCUGACUCAAUAACUUUUCCACUUACAUAGGUUUAUCUCACAGUUAACAAACACGGAUUUAUCCUUGGAAAAUCAUUUCAAACAAACGUUUCUCUGUUUAAAAUUAUUCCAAAUAGAUAAAGUAGCAAGUUUCUCCUAAUACACAUAAAUAUAAGUUGAUUUCCCCAAACAAACAAACAAACAAACAAAACAGAACACUUUAAAUUCACAAAGGUACUAUGGUUACUGCAUUGACUUUCCACAUCUGAUUCCUUCAUCAUCUCAGAAAUCAGGUUAACAACAAUCUGAGACAUAACCCAUAGUAAUGAAUAAAAAGUGAUGUGAAAUUGUCAGUGCCAAGUGUCAGUUGUACCAUCACCUGUAUCAAAUGAAUGGGCCACCCUUUCAGCACCAUCGGUUGUUGUGGAGUGCUCACCAUUUGGAGAGGGAUCUGUCCCUUUGAAUUGCAAUUAUGCUAGAGCAGAGAACCUGCAAAGGGUGUCAUCUCUAUUGCAGUUAGCUCAGACUGUGAUCCUGGAAGUUAGUCAUCCCUAAGCCUACAUAAUAAACCUCUACAGCAUUAAAACCAUCACUAUAAACUCCAAGUCACCUGCUAGUGAAGCUUCUCUCUCUCUGAGGCUAAAUACCACUUACCAACAAAGGAAACAAUGGGAAUGUGACAUCUGUGUUUGGAAAAAGCACUGCCUUUAAAAUAUGUUUUAUUUUCUCAUGAAUCCACUUGACUUAAUUUAUCUAAAUCCUAUUUGUAGUUUAAAAAAUGAAAUAAAACAAAAUAAAGUAAGAUAAAGUGAAAUAAAACUGAAAACACCAACAGAGUGGCCAAAGAAGAAAACUGACAUUGCAGGUAAAUUUCCACCUAAUCUGGAUUAUGUUACCAAAGGCAGCUUCCUGCCUUCCCAGUGAGGGGGAGGAGUUAAGAGCAAGCUUCAUUAGCCAUAAUGAUAAUUACAUACAUUUUCAAAGAGGCUAUUAUCCCGAGGCUUGAAGUGCUCUAUAAACAUUAAUUAAUUUAAGCUCUGGGUAGUCCAGCACCAUUAUGUCUUUUGUAAAGAAAAGUAAACAGAAGUGCUCAGAAACUAAGUGGCUUCACUAGGCUCAUUUAGGCAGCUGGCAGCAUAGUUGUGAACAAAACUGAGUCUGAAUGACAGUCUCCAAUGCCAGUCACAGGCAUAGAGGACUGCAAAGGACAAAGGGAAGGAGGGAUACUGCAAAGUGGGAUUAGUAAGGAAAUGGCUACAUUGUAACCAGAAGGCAGGUAAACAGUGCAACUCAGCUAAUAAGAUGGACUUCAGGGUGAAGAUAACUACACUUACCGUUCCAGUUUUUUUUUCAAGGUGGGGCUUCUCAAACUUUAAUGUCUAUCCAGUCACCUCAGGAAUCUUGUUCAACUGUGGAUCCUGAUUCAGGAGAUCUAUGGUGAGGCUUGAGCGUCUUCAUGGCUAAGUAAGCUCUCUGGAGCUGCUGAUGCUACUGGCCUUGGACCACAUUGUGUGAUAAUUUUCUGUGUUAUUUUCUUUAUUGCUCGGUUGAUUCUUUAACCAAUGCUAUUCUACUUAACUUUUUUCAGUACCUAUGUGUUACCUUUUCAUUGUGUUUUUCCUCCCUUUGAAAAUGAAUGUAUAAUAUUUAUAGGGAAAAGCAAGCAAGUCUUAAGGGUUCAAUGAGUUUUAGCCUUCUUUGAAAUUUGGAGACAGAGUUGCAAGCUUCUGGCUGGAAUCUAGCUCACCUGCCCUUUGAUUCCAGCAUGGAGAGGCUGCCAGUCCUCAGAGCAGGCUUGCCUUGGUUCCUCCUCCAAAAUGCACAAAGGGGAUUUCUCUCUAUGAGAUUUAUUAUCCGAUAUUAGUAUUUUUAGUUUUCCUCGGCUUUUCUUAAAGAGAAGGCACUAAAUUAAAAAAAAAUUUUUUUUUAAGAGGAAGCACUAGACAGAGGCAAAUUUGCACUGUUUGAACAAGGAAAGGAUUAUGUUUAAGAAACAAAGCAAGGGAUUGUGUUUAAAAAAUUCUAACCCACAUGGACAAAAAGGAAGACCCUUAAUUGGUCACUCAGAGUUUUAUUUUUUCCUACACAAAGAUAAACAUCUGGACAUUUGGAAAUAUUUAAGUAAUUAACCUAUUUUUCCAGUUUUUCACCAUAAACAAAUUAAUUUAGCAACUUUUACUGCGGACAGGGUUAUCUAUAAAGCAUGCUACUGGAUUCCUUGAGAUGCAGAGUUGUGUGGGCUCUGGAAAAUUUAUAUACUCAAGUUUACAAUCACAUUCAGCAGUGUAAGGACAAUUAGGAAGGCAUUAGAGAGAAGAGAAGCAAGGUUCACUAAAGGGUACAUCCAAAUGGGCCGACCAGGAGAAGCUCAUGAAGGGGGUGCCUUGAGGAUGAGACCUUAAGAUGACCGGUGGUAGUGGAACAGCAGAUAUGCCAGGCAAAAGGAAACCAAGAAGCAAAGGCAUAAAAGUGGGAAGAAAUGCAUGUGAGUAACAGGAAAUAAAUUCCUGUAAUAACAUCAAAAGAAAAAAAGCAAAGCGAGUGUUAUCUUCAUUUGAAACUGCGGGUAUAGCAAAAUGUAAUUCUGGGCUUAUAGAAAUCCUCAUGCAUGGUCACACUUCCAUCCUUCAUCCAGUAAAUAUCACUGAGAGCAUAGAUUCAGCGCUCCUAGUAAUAUUAUGAAUCUAUGCUCCUCGGUUACAGUCCUCACACUUGGCCCAAAUAAACUCUCUACUUAUAUUAUUUAAAAAACAUUACUAAGAGCCUCCUGUGUCUCCAGCCCUGUGCAAGGCUUUGGGCAUAAUCUGAUGAAACAAAAUGAACAUUACCCCUGAGCUCAAGGAGCUUGUGCUCUAGUUG